AUGGAGGACGGGAGCACCAGCAUCUACCAAUGGAGGAGAAUAAAUACUUUUAUUAACCAAAACAAUAAUCCACUGAUGGAGAACAAGGAAGAUGGAAGACUACCAUCAUCUACCAAUGGACGAGCAGGAGAAAAAUGGGGGAGCACCAGCAUCCAAGUGUCCCAUAAUCAGCCACAGGAGGAGAUAUCAGCAGGAGAGGAGAAGAAAGACUUCUGUCAAUCAACCAAAAACAAUGUAAGUAAAGCCUCUUGUUUGAACACACAUUUAAUAUAAAAAUAGAUGUUAAUUACUGUACUAGUGUCUGUAAAACGUCUUGUGUGUGAUUACAGAUUCACUUCAGAGGAGAAUCAGACUGUUCCAGAUGUUCAUCACCACAGCACAGAAUGAGACAGCAGUAGUAGUAGUAGUGUUUACUCUGACUGCUUUCAUUUCAACUAUAAAUAAAUAAAAAAUAAUAUCUUAAGAAAUCA
ensembl:lncRNA